rnacentral:rRNA from 1 species
GAUGAACGCUGGCGGCGUGCCUAAUACAUGCAAGUCGAGCGAAUGGAUUAAGAGCUUGCUCUUAUGAAGUUAGCGGCGGACGGGUGAGUAACACGUGGGUAACCUGCCCAUAAGACUGGGAUAACUCCGGGAAACCGGGGCUAAUACCGGAUAAUAUUUUGAACUGCAUGGUUCAAAAGUGAAAGGCGGCUUCGGCUGUCACUUAUGGAUGGACCCGCGUCGCAUUAGCUAGUUGGUGAGGUAACGGCGCACCAAGGCAACGAUGCGUAGCCGACCUGAGAGGGUGAUCGGCCAGACUGGGACUGAGAGACGGCCCAGACUGCUACGGGGGGCAGCAGUAGGGAAUCUUCCGCGAUGGACGAAAGUCUGGCGGAGCUACGCCGCGUGAGUGAUGAAGGCUUUCGGGUCGUAAAACUCUGUUGUUAGGGAAGAACAAGUGCUAGUUGAAUAAGCUGGCACCUUGACGGUACCUAACCAGAAAGCCACGGCUAACUACGUGCCAGCCGCCGCAGUAA